GGAUUAGAUACCCUGGUAGUCCUAGCCGUAAACUAUGGAUACUAAGUGGUGGAUCAAUUUAAAGAAUUCAAUACUGUAGCUAACGCGUUAAGUAUCCCACCUGGGGAGUAUGCUCGCAAGGGUAAAACUCAAAGGAAUUGACGGGGGCCCGCACAAGCGGUGGAGCAUGUGGUUUAAUUCGAUCAACGCGAAGAACCUUACCAGAAUUUGACAUCCUAUUAACCUCUUAGAAAUAAGUGGCUUUAAUAUAGAGACAGGUGGUGCAUGGCUGUCGUCAGCUCGUGCCG
rnacentral:rRNA from 1 species